rnacentral:snRNA from 1 species
AAUGUUGUUAGAUAACUAUCUUGCAAUGUAUAUUAUUUCCCUGAAUUGAAAACAAUCAGGAAAUACAUUAAUAAGAAGAAUCAUCUAUGAGAAUAACAUGAAAAAAUACUUUCCAAAAAAUUCCCCAUAUUAUAAUAAUAUGUUAUAUUAUUGCACAAGCAUGAACAUUAAAUGUCAUUAAAAGUUUCUUUGAGUUAAAUUUACAUUAAAAUCAAAAUGCAUUUUAAUUAUAUUUUAAAUUGAAUAUAAUUAAAAUGAAACUUGCACAUUUAAUGGAUUAAAUUGUGCUC